GCCAAAGAUUGUUCCAGAUAACAGGAGAAGGGGCGGAACGAAGCAGGCUUGUCUUGUGUCGCACAGCAUGGCGCACUCGUCGAGGCUCACCCUGUCUGCGUCCGCCGCGAGGGCGGCCGCUGCCGUGGUCGACGACGACGACGAUCUCGACGAGGAGCCCGGUGAGGAGAUCGAGUCCGCGCCGCCGCUCCGGGUCGGCGAGGAGAGGGAGAUCGGAGGCGCCGGCCUCAGGAAGAAGCUUCUCAGGCCCGGCCGCGGCUGGGAGGCCCCCGUCCUCGGCGACGAAGUUACAGUUCAUUAUGAGGGUAGAUUGCUGGAUGGACGCAAGUUCGAGUCCACUCGGGACCGAGGGGAGCCUCUCACUUUUGAGCUGGGCGGUGAACAAGGCAUUGCUGGCUUGGAUCAAGGAAUAAUUACCAUGAAAAGGGGGGAAUUGGCACUAUUUACAUUGCCUUGUUCUUCUGGUUAUCGACAUGCUGCUGCUCAAGGUGUUCCUCCUGAUGCUGAUAUGCAGUUUGAGGUAGAACUACUAUCAUGGCUAACAGUCAUGGACAUUUGCAAGGAUGGUGGAAUAGUUAAGAAAGUUUUAUCAGAUGGGGAUGAUAGGCAAACAGGAGAUUUGGAUGAAGUUACAGUCAAGUAUCAAGUCAGGCUGCUUGAUGGCACGAUUGUUGCAGAAACUCCUGAAGGAGGAUUUGAGUUUUGUGUUAAUCAAGGGCAUUUGUGUCCAGCAUUACCCAAGAUUGUGAAUACCAUGAGAAGAGGGGAGAAGGCUUUUGUCACCAUUCAACCACAAUAUGCAUUUGGAGAAGCGGGGAGAGAAGCUAUUAAUGGAUUACCUGCUAUUCCAUCAAAUGCCGUGUUGAAUAUUGAAGUUGAGUUAGUAUCUUUGAAGCCCGUUGUUGAUGUUACUGGUGAUAUGAAGGUAUUGAAGAAGAUUCUGAGAGCAGGCGAAGGUCUCCGUACACCGAACAGCGGGGAGACCGUUUGUGUUAGGUAUACUGCCAUGUUCAAAGGUGGCACUACUUUUGAGAAAGUAGGCUUUGAUGGAGAAAGUUUUCAAUUUAUAAUUGAUGAAGAACAGGUUAUUGCUGGUUUAGAUCGUGCUGUAUCAACAAUGUUGAAGGGUGAACUAUCUGAACUGACUAUAGAACCGGAGUAUGCAUUUGGAAAUGACAAAGCUAAACGGGAUGUAACCAUAAUUCCUUCAAGUUCAACUUUGAUAUAUGUGGUGGAGUUGUUAGACUUUACAAAGGAAAAAGACAUACAGGAGAUGACUGGUCUUGAGAAGAUACAAGCUGCUGAAGGAACAAAAAGUUCAGGCAAUGAUCUUUUCAAGAACGGGAAGUUUGAACGAGCUGCAAAGAAGUAUGAUAAGGCUGCUAGGUAUAUUGAUGGUGAAGGAACAUUUGAGGAUAAUGAGGAAAAGCUAGUGAAAUCUCUGAGAAUCUCGUGCUGGUUGAAUUCUGCAGCAUGUUGCCUAAAACUGAAGGACUUUCAGGGAGCUAUUCGGUUAUGUUCACAGGUACUAGAUAAUGAGUUCUGCAAUGUGAAGGCACUGUACAGGCGAGCACAAGCUUAUAUUGAAGCUGCUGAUCUGGAUUUAGCUAAGUUGGAUAUUCAGAAGGCAUUAGAGCUCGACCCAAAGAACAAGGAGAUGAAGUCACUACAGAUGACAUUGAAACAGCUUCAAGCAGAGAAGAAUAGAAGAGAUGCAAAGUUGUACGCAAACAUGUUCCACUGGACGAGAAAAGAUGCAGAUGUGAUGGUGAAGAAGCUGAAGGUUGGGAAGCCACAAGGUGAUGAGAGGGAGGGGAGCGCCGAAGUGGAGGCAUCCAAUCUGGAGAACUACAUGAGAUGUGAGCGCAAAGUGGCAGAGAAAGAAGUAAAAUGUGACAGGGAAACACAGGCGAUGGAGGUGGUGGAUGCUACUUGUGCCGGUGACAGGGAGAUGGCAGAUUCCGCGGGGAGGUGAACAGCCUGCGGCAAUCUUGGAGGACGCUGAUGAUGGUCUAAUAUUGGUCCCUGGGGGUGGAAGAGAACCCGCUGAAAACUCACCUCGGACCAGGAACUUAUCCUCCUCCCAUGCAGGGUUCCUUAGAUACGUUGGUUAAGUUUUGACGGACAUUGCAAAAUGCGAUCUUCACAUGGCUCAUCAACGCUACUUGCGAUUUCGUGGAGGAUCGUAUCGCUGUUGAUGCGGGAGUGACCAAAUGAACUUCCGACAUGUUCCGCAGGUAUAUUGAUUUCUUCUAUAAAUAUUUAAUACAAUUCUCGA